CAAGCCAUAUAAAGGCGAGCAGCCCUUAUAGCACUAGCAAACGGCCUACUUAUAGCCCUAUUUUCCCCUUUAUUCGGGGACUUCAACGAGGCCUUACAAGCUCAUAAAAUGGCAACUCUUCACGUUUUCCUCAGACAAAAGAACAACGGAUUGAACAGGACAGGAAGCCUGACAUAGAUAUUGAUUUGAACAAAGGAACUUAAACCGGUACCAGAAACCAAACAAGAGAUGGAAUUCCAGAUUGAACAGAUGACCGACCUACAAAAGGAGGCCAAUCUUUUCCAAUCUAGAGAUUGGUAGAUUACCUUCGAAACAAAGGUAACUAAUAAUCCUUCUGCUUUGGACAAGAUAAGUGGACAAAUGAGUUGAAUAAUACAGGGACAGCUAGGUGAAGGUCUCCUUUGAUAUCUCCCAACCUAAAGGCUUU
rnacentral:lncRNA from 1 species